UGCAGUCGAGUGCGCAGUUUUCUGUAGCAAUACAGAAAGCGGGCGCACGGCGCACGGGUGCGUAACACGUGGGCAAUCUGCCCUUUGAUGGGGAAUAACCCGCCGAAAGGCGGGCUAAUACCGCAUAACAUCCCAGUCGCUUCGGCGAUAGGGAUCAAAGCCCGCAAGGGCGUCAUUGGAGGGGCCCGCGGCCGAUUAGCUGGUUGGUAGGGUAACGGCCUACCAAGGCUUGGAUCGGUAGCCGGUCUGAGAGGACGAUCGGCCACACUGGAACUGAGACACGGUCCAGACUCCUACGGGAGGCAGCAGUGGGGAAUCUUGCGCAAUGGGCGAAAGCCUGACGCAGCGACGCCGCGUGGGGGAUGAAGCUUCUCGGAGUGUAAACCCCUUUCGACCCGGACGAAUCACCCGCAAGGGUAUUGACGGUACGGGGAGAAGAAGCCCCGGCUAACUACGUGCCAGCAGCCGCGGUAAGACGUAGGGGGCCAGCGUUGCUCGGAAUUACUGGGCGUAAAGGGUUCGUAGGCGGUGCGGUAAGUCGAGAGUGAAAUCUCCAGGCUCAACUUGGAGGCGCCUCCCGAAACUGCCGUGCUCGAGUGCUGGAGAGGCGAGUGGAAUUGCAGGUGUAGCGGUGAAAUGCGUAGAUAUCUGCAGGAACACCAGUGGCGAAGGCGGCUCGCUGGACAGCAACUGACGCUGAGGAACGAAAGCUAGGGGAGCAAACAGGAUUAGAUACCCUGGUAGUCCUAGCCCUAAACGAUCAGGUCUUGAGGUGAGCCCCGUUCGGGGUUUGUCUCGUAGCCUACGCGAUAAGACCUGCGCCUGGGGAGUACGGUCGCAAGACUGAAACUCAAAGGAAUUGACGGGGG
rnacentral:rRNA from 1 species